CUCCUACGGGAGGCAGCAGUGAGGAAUAUUGGUCAAUGGGCGCGAGCCUGAACCAGCCAAGUAGCGUGAAGGAUGAAGGUCCUACGGAUUGUAAACUUCUUUUAUAAGGGAAUAAAGUCGCCUACGUGUAGGCGUUUGUAUGUACCUUAUGAAUAAGCAUCGGCUAACUCCGUGCCAGCAGCCGCGGUAAUACGGAGGAUGCGAGCGUUAUCCGGAUUUAUUGGGUUUAAAGGGAGCGUAGACGGAGGAUUAAGUCAGUUGUGAAAGUUUGCGGCUCAACCGUAAAAUUGCAGUUGAUACUGGUCCCCUUGAGUGCAGUUGAGGCAGGCGGAAUUCGUGGUGUAGCGGUGAAAUGCUUAGAUAUCACGAAGAACCCCGAUUGCGAAGGCAGCCUGCUAAGCUGUAACUGACGUUGAUGCUCGAAAGUGUGGGUAUCAAACAGGAUUAGAUACCCUGGUAGUCCACACGGUAAACGAUGGAUACUCGCUGUUGGCGAUAUACUGUCAGCGGCCAAGCGAAAGCAUUAAGUAUCCCACCUGGGGAGUACGCCGGCAACGGUGAAACUCAAAGGAAUUGACGGGGGCCCGCACAAGCGGAGGAACAUGUGGUUUAAUUCGAUGAUACGCGAGGAACCUUACCCGGGCUUAAAUUGCAGACGAAUUACCUGGAAACAGGUAAGCCGCAAGGCGUCUGUGAAGGUGCUGCAUGGUUGUCGUCAGCUCGUGCCGUGAGGUGUCGGCUUAAGUGCCAUAACGAGCGCAACCCCUCUCCUUAGUUGCCAUCAGGUUAAGCUGGGCACUCUGGGGACACUGCCACCGUAAGGUGUGAGGAAGGUGGGGAUGACGUCAAAUCAGCACGGCCCUUACGUCCGGGGCUACACACGUGUUACAAUGGCAGGUACAGAGAGACGGUCCUUUGCAAAACGGAUCAAAUCCUUAAAGCCUGUCUCAGUUCGGACUGGGGUCUGCAACCCGACCCCACGAAGCUGGAUUCGCUAGUAAUCGCGCAUCAGCCAUGGCGCGGUGAAUACGUUCCCGGGCCUUGUACACACCGC
rnacentral:rRNA from 1 species